rnacentral:rRNA from 1 species
AGUCGAGCGGUAGAGAGGUGCUUGCACCUCUUGAGAGCGGCGGACGGGCGAGUAAAGCCUAGGAAUCUGCCUGGUAGUGGGGGAUAACGCUCGGAAACGGACGCUAAUAUCGCAUACGUCCUACGGGAGAAAGCAGGGGACCUUCGGGCCUUGCGCUAUCAGAUGAGCCUAGGUCGGAUUAGCUAGUUGGUGAGGUAAUGGCUCACCAAGGCGACGAUCCGUAACUGGUCUGAGAGGAUGAUCAGUCACACUGGAACUGAGACACGGUCCAGACUCCUACGGGAGGCAGCAGUGGGGAAUAUUGGACAAUGGGCGAAAGCCUGAUCCAGCCAUGCCGCGUGUGUGAAGAAGGUCUUCGGAUUGUAAAGCACUUUAAGUUGGGAGGAAGGGCAUUAACCUAAUACGUUAGUGUUUUGACGUUACCGACAGAAUAAGCACCGGCUAACUCUGUGCCAGCAGCCGCGGUAAUACAGAGGGUGCAAGCGUUAAUCGGAAUUACUGGGCGUAAAGCGCGC